CCUGGUUGAUCCUGCCAGUAGUCAUAUGCUUGUCUCA
rnacentral:rRNA from 1 species